UACAGAGGUCUCAAGCGCUGUUCGGAUUCAUUGGGCGUAAAGGGUGCGUAGGUGGCGCCAUAAGUCGGGUGUGAAAUCUCGGGGCUUAACUCCGAAACUGCAUUCGAUACUGUGGUGCUUGAGGACUGGAGAGGAGACUGGAAUUCAUGGUGUAGCAGUGAAAUGCGCAGAUAUCAGGAGGAACACCGGUGGCGAAGGCGGGUCUCUGGGCAGUAACUGACGCUGAGGAGCGAAAGUGUGGGGAGCGAACAGG
rnacentral:rRNA from 1 species